rnacentral:rRNA from 1 species
ACUGUAGGCUGCAACUCGCCUACACGAAGUUGGAAUUGCUAGUAAUCGCGGAUCAGAAUGCCGCGGUGAAUACGUUCCCGGGUCUUGUACACACCGCCCGUCACACCAUGGGAGUCGGAAAUGCCCGAAGCCGGUGACCCAACCCGAAAGGGAGGGAGCCGUCGAAGGCAGGUCGGAUGACUGGGGUGAAGUCGUAACAAGGUACC